AGUGAACGCUGGCGGCAGGCCUAACACAUGCAAGUCGAACGGCAGCACAGUAAGCGCUUGCUCUUACGGUUGGCGAGUGGCGGACGGGUGAGGCAUACAUCGGAUUCUACUUUUUCUUGGGUGACAACGUAGGGAAACUUACGCUAAUACCGCAUACGAUCUACGGGUUAAAGCAGUGGUUCUUCGGACCUUUCGCGUCUCUAUUAGCUGAUGUCGGAUUAGCUAGUUGGCGGGGUAAAGGCCCACCAAGGCGACGAUCCGUAGCUGGUCUGAGAGGAUGAUCAGCCACACUGGAACUGAGACACGGUCCAGACUCCUACGGGAGGCAGCAGUGGGGAAUAUUGGGCAAUGGGCGCAAGCCUGAUCCAGCAAUACCGCGUGGGUGAAGAAGGCCUUCGGGUUGUAAAGCCCUUUUGUUGGGAAAGAAAAGAAGCAGGUUAAUACCCCGCUGUUCUGACGGUACCCAAAGAAUAAGCACCGGCUAACUUCGUG
rnacentral:rRNA from 1 species